rnacentral:rRNA from 1 species
GAGUUUGAUCCUGGCUCAGGAUGAACGCUGGCGGCGUGCCUAAUACAUGCAAGUCGAACGAGGUUUUAACAAUUGAUCAAUGUGCUUGCACGGCGAGAUUUUGUUAACACCGAGUGGCGGACGGGUGAGUAACACGUGGGUAACCUGCCCUUAAGUGGGGGAUAACAUUUGGAAACAGAUGCUAAUACCGCAUAAACCCAAGGAUCACAUGAUCCAUGGUUGAAAGAUGGCGUAAGCUAUCGCUUUUGGAUGGACCCGCGGCGUAUUAGCUAGUUGGUAAGGUAACGGCUUACCAAGGCGAUGAUACGUAGCCGAACUGAGAGGUUGAUCGGCCACAAUGGGACUGAGACACGGCCCAUACUCCUACGGGAGGCAGCAGUAGGGAAUCUUCCACAAUGGACGCAAGUCUGAUGGAGCAACGCCGCGUGAGUGAAGAAGGCUUUCGGGUCGUAAAACUCUGUUGUUGGAGAAGAACACGUUUGAGAGUAACUGUUCAGACGUUGACGGUAUCCAACCAGAAAGCCACGGCUAACUACGUGCCAGCAGCCGCGGUAAUACGUAGGUGGCAAGCGUUAUCCGGAUUUAUUGGGCGUAAAGCGAGCGCAGGCGGUUUCUUAAGUCUGAUGUGAAAGCCUUCGGCUUAACCGAAGA